AGAGUUUGAUCAUGGCUCAGAUUGAACGCUGGCGGCAUGCCUUACACAUGCAAGUCGAACGGCAGCACGGGGGCAACCCUGGUGGCGAGUGGCGAACGGGUGAGUAAUAUAUCGGAACGUGCCUUAGAGUGGGGGAUAACUAGUCGAAAGACUAGCUAAUACCGCAUACGAUCUACGGAUGAAAGUGGGGGAUCGCAAGACCUCAUGCUCCUAGAGCGGCCGAUAUCUGAUUAGCUAGUUGGUGAGGUAAAGGCUCACCAAGGCGACGAUCAGUAGCUGGUCUGAGAGGACGACCAGCCACACUGGGACUGAGACACGGCCCAGACUCCUACGGGAGGCAGCAGUGGGGAAUUUUGGACAAUGGGCGCAAGCCUGAUCCAGCAAUGCCGCGUGAGUGAAGAAGGCCUUCGGGUUGUAAAGCUCUUUUGUCAGGGAAGAAACGGUGCGGGCUAAUAUCCUGUGCUAAUGACGGUACCUGAAGAAUAAGCACCGGCUAACUACGUGCCAGCAGCCGCGGUAAUACGUAGGGUGCAAGCGUUAAUCGGAAUUACUGGGCGUAAAGCGUGCGCAGGCGGUUGUGUAAGACAGGUGUGAAAUCCCCGGGCUUAACCUGGGAAUGGCAUUUGUGACUGCACGGCUAGAGUGUGUCAGAGGGGGGUAGAAUUCCACGUAGCAGUGAAAUGCGUAGAGAUGUGGAGGAAUACCGAUGGCGAAGGCAGCCCCCUGGGAUAACACUGACGCUCAUGCACGAAAGCGUGGGGAGCAAACAGGAUUAGAUACCCUAGUAGUCC
rnacentral:rRNA from 1 species